GACGAACGCUGGCGGCGUGCCUAAUACAUGCAAGUUGAGCGAUGAAGAUUGGUGCUUGCACCAAUUUGAAGAGCAGCGAACGGGUGAGUAACGCGUGGGGAAUCUGCCUUUGAGCGGGGGACAACAUUUGGAAACGAAUGCUAAUUCCGCAUAACAACUUUAAACAUAAGUUUUAAGUUUGAAAGAUGCAAUUGCAUCACUCAAAGAUGAUCCCGCGUUGUAUUAGCUAGUUGGUGAGGUAAAGGCUCACCAAGGCGAUGAUACAUAGCCGACCUGAGAGGGUGAUCGGCCACAUUGGGACUGAGACACGGCCCAAACUCCUACGGGAGGCAGCAGUAGGGAAUCUUCGGCAAUGGACGAAAGUCUGACCGAGCAACGCCGCGUGAGUGAAGAAGGUUUUCGGAUCGUAAAACUCUGUUGGUAGAGAAGAACGUUGGUGAGAGUGGAAAGCUCAUCAAGUGACGGUAACUACCCAGAAAGGGACGGCUAACUACGUG
rnacentral:rRNA from 1 species